rnacentral:rRNA from 1 species
AUUGAACGCUGGCGGUAUGCUUAACACAUGCAAGUCGAACGGCAGCAUGAACUGUAGCAAUACAGUUUGAUGGCGAGUGGCGGACGGGUGAGUAACACGUAGGAAUCUACCCUAAAGCGGGGGACAACUGGAGGAAACUCCAGCUAAUACCGCAUAAGUUCUGAGGAACAAAGCUGGCAGCAAUGCUGGCACUUUAGGAGGAGCCUGCGUCUGAUUAGCUAGUUGGUAGGGUAAAGGCCUACCAAGGCGACGAUCAGUAGGUGGUCUGAGAGGAUGAUCACCCACACUGGGACUGAGACACGGCCCAGACUCCUACGGGAGGCAGCAGUGGGGAAUAUUGGACAAUGGGGGCAACCCUGAUCCAGCAAUACCGCGUGUGUGAAGAAGGCCUUCGGGUUGUAAAGCACUUUAGGCGGGGAAGAAGGUAAGUAGUUUAAGAGAUGACUUACUUGACGGUACCCGCAGAAUAAGCACCGGCUAACUCUGUGCCAGCCGCCGCCGUAAAAC